UAUUUUUCAACCUAAAUAUCAAGACGACCGAUUUAAAAAAACAGAGUAAAGGACAUUCGGAGAUGAAUGAAACAACUGUGUAUGACAGCUACUGUAGCAAUCUCACUGAUGAGUACCUGUGAGAAUAUUUAAAUAACUAGCAAGUUAUAUGUGUAUAUUUUUACCAGGUUGAACGAGAAGAAGGUUCAGUUGUCAUUGAGCUCUGUUACCAAACAAAUGAAGCUGCUCCAGUAUGUCUUCAAGCAGCUGUAUGAGAGGUUGAGACACCUGGAGAUUGACACCCGAAACUGCAUAGCUAAAUUAAGACAUUUUACAGAUGAAGGUCCACAUCCUCAGAUCCUAUGAGGCUGACCAGAACUGUGUGCUGGAGUGGAGGUGCUCGAGACAGAGAGGCCCACAGCAGGGUCCGAUCACCAUCCGCGCCGAGUCUCCGAUCCAGUUGUGAAGGUUUCUGGGGUCACUCUAAGGACUACCUCAUUGCAGAAGAUGAUCGAAACCUCGACUCCCACCUCUCCUGACAGGAAUGAGCGAGCCAGCAGCAAGAGGAGGUAAAGAGACAGGAGGAACAGUGGAACUGAGAAGAGGUGUGGAAGAGAGAGGAUGAACACAGACAGAAGUCGGAAAGAAGAGUGAAAAGGAGAGACGAGGAAGAAGAGGAACACAGAAUAAGGCACAAGUGGUGGAGGAAGAGAGCAGAGUCCUGAGCCUUCGAAAUAAUGACUGGAAGGAGAAGACAUCUGUUUUAAAU